rnacentral:rRNA from 1 species
UGCAGUCGAACGAUGCUUUCGGGCAUAGUGGCGCACGGGUGCGUAACGCGUGGGAAUCUGCCCUUUGGUUCGGAAUAACAGUUGGAAACGACUGCUAAUACCGGAUGAUGACGUUAAGUCCAAAGAUUUAUCGCCAGAGGAUGAGCCCGCGUGAGAUUAGGUAGUUGGUGGGGUAAAGGCCUACCAAGCCGACGAUCUCUAGCUGGUCUGAGAGGAUGAUCAGCCACACUGGGACUGAGACACGGCCCAGACUCCUACGGGAGGCAGCAGUGGGGAAUAUUGGACAAUGGGCGCAAGCCUGAUCCAGCAAUGCCGCGUGAGUGAUGAAGGCCUUAGGGUUGUAAAGCUCUUUUACCCGGGAUGAUAAUGACAGUACCGGGAGAAUAAGCCCCGGCUAACUCCGUGCCAGCAGCCGCGGUAAUACGGAGGGGGCUAGCGUUGUUCGGAAUUACUGGGCGUAAAGCGCACGUAGGCGGCUUUGUAAGUUAGGGGUGAAAGCCUGGAGCUCAACUCCAGAAUUGCCUUUAAGACUGCAUCGCUUGAAUCCAGGAGAGGUGAGUGGAAUUCCGAGUGUAGAGGUGAAAUUCGUAGAUAUUCGGAAGAACACCAGUGGCGAAGGCGGCUCACUGGACUGGUAUUGACGCUGAGGUGCGA